UCCAGGCUCAUGGAUAGGAAGAAUCAAUAUCAUGAAAAUGAAAAUGGUCAUACUGCCCAAAGUAAUGUAUAGAUUCAGUGUUAUUCCCACUAAACUACCAUUGACAGUAUUCACAGAAU